rnacentral:lncRNA from 1 species
ACACCUGUGCCUAUGUUCUCGCCAGGAGAGCUGAGACAUCUCUAGAAGGUAAACAUGGCGUCCUCAGCACAGGACCCUGCUGGAGCCCUGAGGGGAGACUUAGAAGCAGCAAAGCCAAUGUUCUUGUCCCAGCUCUUCUCUCUCUCCUCGAGCUCUGCCUGGGUGAACGCUGCGGGUCCCCAGUUGGUGAUCAGAUGAGGGUUCUUGGAACCUAAGCGACAAGCGUGCUUUCAAUGCAGGAAGGCUGGCUCUCUCCGCACCUGUCAUCGCAUCAGGGGGACAACACUCCUACUUCUCUGAGGAAUACCCAAAAAGGUCCGCCAGCCAAAAGAGCAGCAACUAUGCACGCAGGGAGGUUACCCAGGAGCACUUACUAAGGAGGACAAGCUUAAGAGAAUCCACAGGAGCAUCAUGGCUUCAGCGGGCUCUCUGCUCCCAUCUCCCUGUAGGAACCCUGGGAUUGCAAAUGUACAUUCCCCCAUCCAGGCAUUGACGUGGGUGCUCAGCUGUCCUUGCCUUUGUCUUCAUUCCCCCAUCAUGGACUCUAACCACUGAAACCGGCCUGCUUCCGCUCCAACUCCAACUGUUCCAGCUGUGCCAUGGCCUCCUGCAAUGCCUGCUCCUUCAUGACACGCUGCUGUUCCAGCUCCUGCUUCUCCGCCUCUGUUGUCUGAAUGGCCUGCUGCUGCUCCAGGUGCCACUUUUCCAGCUCUGCCCUCUUAGAAGACUCUUCCUCCAGCAACCUGUAACACAGAGGACACUCGGGGUCACACCCUGCUGGGGACCCUGGCCAAGAUGGACAAGCAUUUCAGAGACGAGCAUCUCAGUCAUCCGAGGCCUCCCAUCUUAAAGGAGACUGGGAGCCAAGGAGUGUCUAUCACAAAGCCUGAGAGCAGCCCGCAUGUCCUGCUCCAAGUGUCCUCAAUCUUACAUGAAGGAAAACGAAAACUAGCAUUUAGACAGUGGCAAGUGUAUGUUAAGAACAGCGUCAAGUGUGUUUUCUCCGCUGCUUUGCAGAGUGCACAUAUGUUCAAUUAGUAGUCACAUCUGAGAUGAAGAAGUAAGGCCAAGGAGCCAAGCUCUGCAACCUGCCUAGUUGCUACAACACUGAAACAUUUAUUCAUCUAAUAAAGACCUAUUACCAACAAAACAAUCCUGGAGGUACCGGUCCCUCGUCACAGAUGAAGGAAUGUGUCCACAAGUGUACCGCAGAGGACACAAUGGACUUCAAUGCAGGUGUUUGACGCCAAAGUGCUAGUCGCAAGAACAAGCUGGCUUGGAUUAGUCAACUACAUUUGUGUUUAAAUAAAUAAACCAAUACACCGCCCAAGCCUGCACUACGCAGACAGUGUAGCCAAACGCCAACAGUGUCAAGGCACAAGUCUAACAAGGAGCCACAGAGUCAAGUCAUCUGGCAGGGCAACCACUGUCACCUGCAGCAUCUGCUCUCUACAGCAGCAGCAAGGAAAGAGGCAAGGACCACACCACCCCUUCCAGAUCCCAAAUCCCCCUAGAGGCACACUUGAGCUCCUUGGAAGUCUCCAGAAUACAGUGUCUACCACUGAGCGCAGCACCGCAGACAGCCCUGACAUGCACUCCCCGUUCAUAGCUAUCCAUUACGCAUCUGUGUUCUUUGCCAAUGCUCUUCUAUGGUCAGUGAGAGUGCUGAAGUACAGAGGAAGGGCAAGCUUUCAGAGGGCUAGGCUGCUUCAUGCAGCUAGAGAAUAGCACAGUGGGGUCUUGUGGGAGGUGAAGCCCCAUCUCCCAGUACAGACUCCACCAUACAGACCUUGCCACCUGCCCUUGGCAGCAGAGCUUGGUGGAACAAGAAAUGAGCUUGGCAAAGCAAUUGUUCCCUGGAACUCUGACUCAAAAGCGCCUGGCACAGAACCAGAGACGAUGGAUAAUUGUUCUUACUGAUGGCAGGGGCAACAGGAGAGCUGACCUGUGUGUGUCUGUGGCAUCCGCCCCAGGCCCAUACCCCUUGGUUCCUGCCACUGUUCAAGCCAGGCCACCUGCCCUCCAUGGAACUGGAGAACUAUUUAAGAAUGUUCCCAUAAAUCACCUUUUGCCUUCCCUCAUCCAAGUUGGUUUCUGUGGUUUGCAAACUGACCUCUGACUAAAGGUUUCAGCACUUCCGC